rnacentral:rRNA from 1 species
CUGCUGCCUCCCGUAGGAGUCUGGUCCGUGUCUCAGUACCAGUGUGGGGGCCUUCCUCUCAGAACCCCUACGCAUC